rnacentral:rRNA from 1 species
AUAGUUCUUUCUGCUCAAUGUAAAUAGCCGCAGUACCCUGACUGUGCAAAGGUAGCAUAAUAACUUGGCUUUUAAUUGAAGUCUAGAAUAAAAGAAAAUUGGAUAAUACUUUAUCAAUUAAUAUUUUAAUUUUCUAAAGAAGUGAAAAUUCUUCUUAUAAAAUUAGACGAGAAGACCCUAGAAAUUUUUAAUUUUGUUGGGGCAACAUAUUAAUAAAAUAUAAAACUAAUAGUAUAAAAAUAAAUUACUCUAGGGAUAACAGCAUAAUUUAAAAUGAUUGUGACCUCGAUGUUGGAUUAGGUAUAAUCAAGA